UACGUAGGUGGCAAGCGUUAUCCGGAAUUACUGGGCGUAAAGCGCACGCAGGCGGCGCAUCAAGUUCGACGUGAAAGCUCCCGGCUUAACUGGGAGAGGUCGUUGAAGACUGAUGGGCUUGAGGCAAUGAGAGGGGUGUAGAAUUCCCGGUGUAGUGGUGGAAUGCGUAGAUAUCGGGAGGAAUACCAGUGGCGAAAGCGGCACCCUAGCAUUAGCCUGACGCUCAUGUGCGAAAGCGUGGGGAGCGAACGGG
rnacentral:rRNA from 1 species